GGCGGCGGCGGCGGCGGCAGAGGCCGCCCCUCCCCACCAGCUCCUUCCUCCACCGCCUACCGUGCGGCGGUCAACCCCACUCCGGCACCUGCCAGUACGGUGGACGACGCAGCGCCGAUUGUGGGCACCUGCCCCGACAUGUGCCCAGCGAGGGAACGAGCGCAGAGGGAGCGGCUGAGGGACCUGGCCGUGCUUGAGCGGGUGGGCGGUGACCCCGCACGGACGUCUCCUUCCCUCGCCGUCAAGAAGUUCUGCAGAACUAUAUCUUCCACAAAUGUAAUGGCUUCAGAUAUACGUCCUCUGCCGGUUUUGCGAGAAACAAUGGAUUAUCUUUUGCAUUUAUUGGAUUCUUCAGAGCAUCCAUUCGAGACAAUCCAUGAUUUCAUCUUUGAUAGGACAAGGUCUAUAAGACAAGACCUCAGUAUGCAGAAUGUAGUGAAUCAUCAAGCAAUUCAAAUAUAUGAGGAUGUGGUAUAUUCCCAUCUUGUGAACUCCCUUUAUCGCAUCAACCAUGUUUUAUAAUUCCAGAUUGUCUUUGUUGUUUUUGAAGAUUCACUUUUAUAACAUUGAACUUUCAAUAGAGUCUAGUCUGAUGACCCUUAAAGACAAGUUUUGGGAGGUCAGAUAACAGUUCCUCUUGAUUAAAAAACCAUAUUUCAUUCAGUUUAAGUUCAAUUUUCUGUACUCACAAAACAAUCUUAAUUUUCCUUUUAUUUCCUUGAAGAAACGUUGCAGUAUUUUUUUCGUACCAAUUUAUCACUCUAUGCACAUGAUAUCUGGCAGGAUAACUAGAUAUGCUCAAAUGGUUGUUUAGUUAUCUUUUGUUCCCAAUUCGGGAUGGAAAUUAUGUUUUUUUUUUCUCUGAACUAUUGUUUAAUGGGUGGUAAUUUCUGUCAGGCCUUUUAUACAUCAGUUUUUACCCACCAGGUGGUCUUUUUUUUUAAUUAUUUGGCACUGUUAAUUUUUGUUGUGUUGCUGGCAUACCUUUUCUUUCCAGCUGGAGGAAUACCAUUGCGUCCAGUGUAACUUAUAUUAAAGUAUUCCUCUUUAAAGCUUUAUCUAAUACCUGCCUACUUCCCAGGUAACAUUUCAUAUUAGGUCCCAUCAAAGACUUGCUAGGUCUUGUCAGGAUUCAGAUGCAUCUUCAUUGUGUUUCCUAAACAUGGAGCAACUAACAAAAUGCCUGCUUUCUCUGUUUGAUAUGUAUCACGCAAUCCAUGAGAGUGAUUUCCACAGCAAAAGAGAGGCCAAAUAUUAUUCCUUCUAUGUGCUUCUACAUUUGGGCUGCAAGAUACCCAAAAUGGUAGAUUCACUCUCUUUGUGGUAUAGCCAAUUAGCUCCUCAAGUUAGACAGUCAAAGGAAAUGAUACUGGCGAGAAAUUUAUUAAGAUGCUACCACCUAGGAAACUUCAAGCGCUUCUUUUGCAUGAUAGCAGCUGAAGCAACUGAUCUUCAGUUACGCCUUGUAGAGCCAUUUCUAAAUGAGCUUGUACUGUUGUUUGGGUGUCAACUUCAAUCUCUCCACUUUUGCUGCUGAAGGUCCGAGCUAGAGCCUUAAUGUACUUUAACCAUAGCGGCUACAAACUCCAACACCACCCUUUGGAACAUUUGUCAGAAAUCCUGAUGAUCGAGGAGUCGGAACUGGAAACUCUUUGCAGAAUAUGUGGGCUUGAAAUCAGGACAAGCGAAGGUAUGAAAGCUUUUGUGCCUAAACAGACAAGCUUCAGCCUACCGACAUCCAUGCCCCGAAGUAACGGCAUUUACAUCUCAAGGGAGGUUGGAAGAUGAAAAGAACAUUGUAAUUCAGGUUUAAUGGAUUGUAGAGUGUAUCAAGAAAGAACUUGUCUAAUGUUACAUGUAAAACAUUUCUCCACGACCCACACGAUUUUUUUUAAAGGAACGACCCACAGGAAUGCUUGCUAC